GGGUUGUGAGGUUAAGCGACUAAGCGUACACGGUGGAUGCCCUGGCAGUCAGAGGCGAUGAAGGACGUGCUAAUCUGCGAAAAGCGUCGGUAAGGUGAUAUGAACCGUUAUAACCGGCGAUGUCCGAAUGGGGAAACCCAGUGCAAUUCGUUGCACUAUCGUUAACUGAAUACAUAGGUUAACGAGGCGAACCGGGGGAACUGAAACAUCUAAGUACCCCGAGGAAAAGAAAUCAACCGAGAUUCCCCCAGUAGCGGCGAGCGAACGGGGAGCAGCCCAGAGUCUGAAUCAGCUUGUGUGUUAGUGGAACGGUCUGGAAAGUCCGACGGUACAGGGUGAUAGUCCCGUACACCAAAAUGCACAGGCUGUGAACUCGAAGAGUAGGGCGGGACACGUGGUAUCCUGUCUGAAUAUGGGGGGACCAUCCUCCAAGGCUAAAUACUCCUGACUGACCGAUAGUGAACCAGUACCGUGAGGGAAAGGCGAAAAGAACCCCGGCGAGGGGAGUGAAAAAGAACCUGAAACCGUGUACGUACAAGCAGUGGGAGCACCUUCGGGUGUGACUGCGUACCUUUUGUAUAAUGGGUCAGCGACUUAUAUUCUGUAGCAAGGUUAACCGUAUAGGGGAGCCGCAGGGAAACCGAGUCUUAACUGGGCGUUAAGUUGCAGGGUAUAGACCCGAAACCCGGUGAUCUAGCCAUGGGCAGGUUGAAGGUUGGGUAACACUAACUGGAGGACCGAACCGACUAAUGUUGAAAAAUUAGCGGAUGACUUGUGGCUGGGGGUGAAAGGCCAAUCAAACCGGGAGAUAGCUGGUUCUCCCCGAAAGCUAUUUAGGUAGCGCCUCGUGAAUUCAUCUUCGGGGGUAGAGCACUGUUUCGGCUAGGGGGUCAUCCCGACUUACCAACCCGAUGCAAACUACGAAUACCGAAGAAUGUUAUCACGGGAGACACACGGCGGGUGCUAACGUCCGUCGUGAAGAGGGAAACAACCCAGACCGCCAGCUAAGGUCCCAAAGUCAUGGUUAAGUGGGAAACGAUGUGGGAAGGCACAGACAGCCAGGAUGUUGGCUUAGAAGCAGCCAUCAUUUAAAGAAAGCGUAAUAGCUCACUGGUCGAGUCGGCCUGCGCGGAAGAUGUAACGGGGCUAAACCAUGCACCGAAGCUGCGGCAGCGACACUAUGUGUUGUUGGGUAGGGGAGCGUUCUGUAAGCCUGCGAAGGUGACCUGUGAGGGUUGCUGGAGGUAUCAGAAGUGCGAAUGCUGACAUAAGUAACGAUAAAGCGGGUGAAAAGCCCGCUCGCCGGAAGACCAAGGGUUCCUGUCCAACGUUAAUCGGGGCAGGGUGAGUCGACCCCUAAGGCGAGGCCGAAAGGCGUAGUCGAUGGGAAACAGGUUAAUAUUCCUGUACUUGGUGUUACUGCGAAGGGGGGACGGAGAAGGCUAUGUUAGCCGGGCGACGGUUGUCCCGGUUUAAGCAUGUAGGCUGAUUGUCCAGGCAAAUCCGGAUAAUCAAGGCUGAGGUGUGAUGACGAGGCACUACGGUGCUGAAGUAACAAAUGCCCUGCUUCCAGGAAAAGCCUCUAAGCAUCAGGUAACAUCAAAUCGUACCCCAAACCGACACAGGUGGUCAGGUAGAGAAUACCAAGGCGCUUGAGAGAACUCGGGUGAAGGAACUAGGCAAAAUGGUGCCGUAACUUCGGGAGAAGGCACGCUGGUGUGUAGGUGAAGCCCCUGCGGGUGGAGCUGAGACCAGUCGAAGAUACCAGCUGGCUGCAACUGUUUAUUAAAAACACAGCACUGUGCAAACACGAAAGUGGACGUAUACGGUGUGACGCCUGCCCGGUGCCGGAAGGUUAAUUGAUGGGGUUAUCCGUAAGGAGAAGCUCUUGAUCGAAGCCCCGGUAAACGGCGGCCGUAACUAUAACGGUCCUAAGGUAGCGAAAUUCCUUGUCGGGUAAGUUCCGACCUGCACGAAUGGCGUAAUGAUGGCCAGGCUGUCUCCACCCGAGACUCAGUGAAAUUGAACUCGCUGUGAAGAUGCAGUGUACCCGCGGCAAGACGGAAAGACCCCGUGAACCUUUACUAUAGCUUGACACUGAACAUUGAGCCUUGAUGUGUAGGAUAGGUGGGAGGCUUUGAAGCGUGGACGCCAGUCUGCGUGGAGCCAACCUUGAAAUACCACCCUUUAAUGUUUGAUGUUCUAACGUUGGCCCCUUACCGGGGUUGCGGACAGUGUCUGGUGGGUAGUUUGACUGGGGCGGUCUCCUCCCAAAGCGUAACGGAGGAGCACGAAGGUUAGCUAAUCCUGGUCGGACAUCAGGAGGUUAGUGCAAUGGCAUAAGCUAGCUUGACUGCGAGCGUGACGGCGCGAGCAGGUGCGAAAGCAGGUCAUAGUGAUCCGGUGGUUCUGAAUGGAAGGGCCAUCGCUCAACGGAUAAAAGGUACUCCGGGGAUAACAGGCUGAUACCGCCCAAGAGUUCAUAUCGACGGCGGUGUUUGGCACCUCGAUGUCGGCUCAUCACAUCCUGGGGCUGAAGUAGGUCCCAAGGGUAUGGCUGUUCGCCAUUUAAAGUGGUACGCGAGCUGGGUUUAGAACGUCGUGAGACAGUUCGGUCCCUAUCUGCCGUGGGCGCUGGAGAAUUGAGGGGGGCUGCUCCUAGUACGAGAGGACCGGAGUGGACGCAUCACUGGUGUUCGGGUUGUCAUGCCAAUGGCACUGCCCGGUAGCUAAAUGCGGAAGAGAUAAGUGCUGAAAGCAUCUAAGCACGAAACUUGCCCCGAGAUGAGUUCUCCCUGAGACUAUAAGUCUCCUGAAGGAACGUUAAAGACGAUGACGUUGAUAGGCCGGGUGUGUAAGCGCAGCGAUGCGUUGAGCUAACCGGUACUAAUGAACCGUGAGGCUUAACCUUACAACGCCGAAG
rnacentral:rRNA from 1 species